rnacentral:RNase_P_RNA from 1 species
UCGCUAGGAUGGAUGGUCGCCGAUGGCUUUACGCCAUUGGAGGAAAGUCCGGGCUCCGCGGGGCGUGAUGCUGGCUAACGGCCAGGCACCAGGCUGGUGACGGCAUGGUGACGGACAGUGCAACAGAGAAUAUACCGCCGUUCUCGCAAGAGAGCGGUAAGGGUGAAACGGUGGGGUAAGAGCCCACCGGGUCUUCGGCGACGAAGACCGCAUGGCAAACCCCAUCAGGUGCAAGAUCAAAUAGGGAAACGUAACGAGGCUGCCCCGCCCAGUUGCUCCGUCAAAAGAGCAACGCGUUUUCGGGUAAGAUCGCUAGAGCCCGUCGGUAACGGCGGGCCCAGAGGAAUGGCCAUCCCGGUUCGCGCAAGCGAGCUAGGACAGAACCCGGCUUACAAUCCCAGACGAGUCA